CCUACGUGAGGCAGCAGUGGGGAAUAUUGGACAAUGGGGGGAACCCUGAUCCAGCGACGCCGCGUGAGUGAAGAAGUAUUUCGGUAUGUAAAGCUCUAUCAGCAGGGAAGAAAGAAAUGACGGUACCUGACUAAGAAGCCACGGCUAACUACGUGCCAGCAGCCGCGGUAAUACGUAGGGGGCAAGCGUUAUCCGGAUUUACUGGGUGUAAAGGGAGCGUAGACGGCGAUGCAAGUCUGAAGUGAAAGGCGGGGGCCCAACCCCUGGACUGCUUUGGAAACUGGAUGGCUGGAGUGCAGGAGAGGUAAGUGGAAUUCCUAGUGUAGCGGUGAAAUGCGUAGAUAUUAGGAGGAACACCAGUGGCGAAGGCGGCUUACUGGACUGUAACUGACGUUGAGGCUCGAAAGCGUGGGGAGCAAACAGGAUUAGAUACCCCAGUAGUC
rnacentral:rRNA from 1 species